GCCCGGGUGGUCUAGUGGUAUGAUUCUCGCUUAGGGUCCACCCUACAGCAUAGCAUGCGAGAGGUCCCGCGUUCGAUCCGCGGCUCGGGCC